rnacentral:misc_RNA from 1 species
GCCCGAGUCCGCCGGCGACGCUACAUUGAGAUCCAGCACCAUCUCCGCUCCGGAGCCCGCCGGAACCCGCCAAAGUCCAGCUCCCCGCUCAAGCUUCGACUCACCAGCUGGUCACUCUGCCUGACCUGCCGGCCUGUCUGCCAGCACUCACCACCGCCGGCCGCUGCUCCGCCCCGAGCAGCGCUUGAUCGGCGGCUUCGGUCCCACGCGUCUCUAUGGCGCCUGAUGGGCAGGAGUCGUGCAGCCGCGAUAAAUAGCGUGGUGGGAGAAGGGGCAGUGGGUGGUGGUGGCCGUGGCCAUGGGUUGGGGAGGACCGAGGACGAGAAGGGAGAG